CGCGAUGAGCGAUAAGCUACUAGAAAGCUAAGUGUUGAGAAGAAACAAAAGGAAGUGUAAGGGAUUAGGAAGUGGCAGUGGUGAUGGGACACCUGGCUAUGUUAGGUCGGAUGCCCAGGGAGGUGAGCCUGAAAGUACGAUUUUAAAUGAGUUCUGAAGAAGUGAGAAUCCUGCAAACUGCCAAUGAGCAGCUUAAGCAAAGGGACCUGAAGUUGGUUGGCAGAGCUCCAUCUUGGCUACUCCAGCUCAAUUCUCAGAAAGUCCCAAUGAGGCAACUUCGGCGAAAUUUCCAUCACCCAACCAGUGACUGAAGAAAUCUAGAUUCCUGGGACAUAACCAUGACUUCAGUGAUACACGCAAGUUCCCUUUCAACUCACUCUCCACCCCCACUGUCCCAUUUUCCCAA